rnacentral:lncRNA from 1 species
CUUUGACUUCCUGGUUCUGUUUCUCUUCUCUGAGGUUCCUGUUUUGGAUAAGCUCACGUCAGAAGAACCAUGUGGAGAUAAAUGACGAGGGGCCAGAUGUCUUCAAAGACAUGAUGGGCUUUAUCUGCUCAGGCAAGGCCCCCCAACCUGGGCAAGAUGGCUGACGACCUGCUGGCUGCAGCUGGCAGGACCUCACAAGUAUGCUUGAACCCUUCUGCGGAUGACUCCCGUCCUAACAGAGGUGCAGAUUUCCGCUCCAGACGGGCGCUUUGCUCUUCAGUCCCCGAUGACCUGAGGAGCUUUUGUGGAGCGGCGCCGCCAGCUGCCGGCUUCUAAAGGUGAGACGUUGCCAUGGUUUCAGCUUCAUCUGAAAGAGGAGUUUGGGCUCCGAAAUGGCUUAAUCAGUUAAUUAGCUCAUUAAUUA